rnacentral:rRNA from 1 species
AUUGAACGCUGGCGGCAGGCUUAACACAUGCAAGUCGAGCGGAGAGAGGUAGCUUGCUACUGAUCUUAGCGGCGGACGGGUGAGUAAUGCUUAGGAAUCUGCCUAUUAGUGGGGGACAACAUUUCGAAAGGAAUGCUAAUACCGCAUACGUCCUACGGGAGAAAGCAGGGGAUCUUCGGACCUUGCGCUAAUAGAUGAGCCUAAGUCGGAUUAGCUAGUUGGUGGGGUAAAGGCCUACCAGGGCGACGAUCUGUAGCGGGUCUGAGAGGAUGAUCCGCCACACUGGGACCGAGACACGGCCCAGACUCCUACGGGAGGCAGCAGUGGGGAAUAUUGGACAAUGGGCGGAAGCCUGAUCCAGCCAUGCCGCGUGUGUGAAGAAGGCCUUUUGGUCGUAAAGCACUUUAAGCGAGGAGGAGGCUACCGAGAUUAAUACUACUGGAUAGUGGACGUUACUCGCAGAAUAAGCACCGGCUAACUCUGUGCCAGCAGCCGCGGUAACAC